GCUCUCCGAGGUGUCCAGCACGAAGUACACGUGGAUGGGGCAGUCGGUCUUCUCUGUGGGGCACAGGACCUGUCACGAGCCAGCCUCAGGAGGGACUGCUGUUGGAGCCCCGUUUCCUGGCCCCGUGCCUGUUUGUGGGUUUGACCUCACUGCCCCCGAAUGCCAGAGCCCCCGGCCCCCAACCCCUGGCACCUGGGUACUGGUCCCAACUGCCCCCCAAAUGCCCAGAGCCCCCGGCCCCCGACCCCUGGCACCUGGGUACUGGUCCCAACUGCCCCCCAAAUGCCCAGAGCCCCCGGCCCCCGACCCCUGGCACCUGGGUACUGGUCCCAACUGCCCCCCAAAUGCCCAGAGCCCCCGGCCCCCGACCCCUGGCACCUGGGUACUGGUCCCAACUGCCCCCCAAAUGCCCAGAGCCCCCGGCCCCCGACCCCUGGCACCUGGGCAGUUGUUGUUUCUCUCGGUAGUGUCCGGCGAGAUGACCUCCUGCUGCUGGGCCUGGAUGGCCCCCAGGAUUCCCCAGAGCAGGAGCACGGAGCAGGUGCCCUGGAGCAUCUUGGCAGCACCUGUGGCCCUGAAGUCCUGCAACAGGGGUGGGGGUCGCUCAGACACCCCCAGUGCCUCUCCCCUGGCACCCUCCCCCAUGGCAGGCGCACGCACAGCAGGUCAGCGGGAUUGGGGGCACUGCCCUCAGUCUUCAAGGAAGCGGGGUCUGCGCCCAGCACACACCGUCACCAGCAUCUGGACUGGGGGGCUUGCGCCCUCUUGCCCCACCCUGGGUGGGGUCACAGAUGUUUAGUGGGUGCCUCUGGGCUCAGUUUUGGGUGGGAUUUGGAUGGUUGAGGCCCUUCCAUGUCCUCCAGGGCUGGGUGGAGUGGGUAGCUGGGCGCGUCGGCAUGGAAGGGAAUGGAGCACCACUGUCUGGCGCCCCCCACUGCCUGGGGCUGCCCUGGAAACAGUGCAGAGGGGAGGGCGGGAGAGAGAUCCCAGCUUCCCCAGACCGGCUCCCCUGCAGAGCUAGGCACUCUCUCUCCAGCCUGGCUCCAUUCCCUUUAAACAGGACUUUGAUAAGGAGGGAGGGAGGACUCUGUCAAGUGUAGGGACACAGCCGUCAUUAGCCUGGCUUUCCUUUCUGUUGGGUGCCAGGACCCUGGGGCAAACAGAUCCAGCCCUUGAACGUCCAUCCUCCCUGAUGCCCUGUGGCUUGGCCUAAGCUCCAGCUCCAGGAGGCCAUCAGGACGGGCCUCACUGUGCUGCUGGCUCCGCAGAGUGGGGCUGGCAGCAGCCGGGCAGCUGGGCAGAAAGGGCACCGGGCCUGGUUCAGAGCGUGCAGUUCCAGGGGUAAUGCAGGGAUUGGAGUGCCGCCCUCUCCUCGGUGCAGAUGGGAGGAGUGUCCAAGCACCGGGACUAGGGGAGGCGCUGCCAGGAGAGGGCCCUGAAGGGUUGCUGUGAUUUUGCGGCGUCUGGAGUGGAUGAGGUGACCCAGGCCAGACCUGCUCAGCCUGGGGCCCAGGGAGGAAUGAAGUCCGUUCCCAAAGGUGCCAGCUCAGGCAGUUUGUGGGUCUGGAGACCCUGCCCCAGGCUGCGAGAGGACAUGGCCAGGUACCAUGCUCCACGGAGCCAGCAGGAGCCGGGGAUAAGUGGGAUCCCUGCCCCUUGCAGUUUGGCGAGGUGAGAGUUCCCCAGGUACAACUGCCCAAGUCGUGGCUGUGGAUCUGGGCCUUCUGCUCCAUGGAGGAGGCAGGAGCCAGCCCCCACUCCUGGUGCAGUUUCAGCUGCCCCAACUGGGGCUGCUGACCCAGGCAUCGCUGCACUCUUGGGGAGCCAGGGAAGGCCCCUCUUUCCCUUGUAGGCCUGGAGGUGCCUGUUCCCGCUGCCCAGCUUCUUCCCGCUCCCACCACCCACUCCAAUCUCAGAGCAGAGUUGGGGCUGAGCCUGGGCACUGUCACAGCCUGGCCGGGUGGGUGCAUGCUUGUGGCAGUGCUGACAUGCCAGCCCCCUGCUGACUUGGCCCCCUCCAAACUGUGGGCACUGAGAAGUGCAGGAGGGGAGGCUUGGGGGGGUGCUGAGGGUGGCUGGGCACCGGUGCCCCUUGGUACCAGCAGCCUGGGCACCAUGGAUGGCUGCAGGAGGCAGAUAGGCUCCUGGGCAGAAGAGGAUGGGUCCCCAGUGAAGCCCCACCUUCAGGCUGGGGCAGGCCUGAAGCCUGGGGGCCGGGUUGCCCGUCCUACGGACCAGAGGGGAACUCAAGGUGCUUUCUUCUGGGCCUGCACAUGGCUGCACAUGGACCAAUCAGCAUGCACUUCCCCUCUCUGAGGCCUUUAAAAGCCCCAGGCUCAGUCAGAGCAGGGCAGAGCAUGGCACGACCAGCUGCAGAGAGGAGGUGCUCUCUCUGCUGAGAGCUUCAGGACCUGAAGGGAUGUCAGGACGACCAGCUGCAGAGAGGAGCUACCCUCUCCAGGGCUUUCUCUCUGCUGAGAGCUGAACACUAGUUGAGAUGCCCUGUUUGCAGAGAGGAGACACGCUCUCGAGGGCCUCCUCUCUGCUAAGAGCUGCAGAGACAAUGGGAUGACCUGCCUGCAGAGAGGAGCCACCCACUCCAGGGCCUUCUCUCUGCUGAGAGCUGAACAUUUGACAAGACAACCCGCCGACAAGACAACCCGCCUACAGAGAGGGGCUGCCCCCUGCGGGUCUCCUGUGAGCUCCCCUAACACUCAAUAAAGCUUCUCUGUCUUGCACACCC